rnacentral:rRNA from 1 species
UACAGAGGUCCCGAGCGUUGCUCGGAUUCAUUGGGCGUAAAGGGUGUGUAGGAGGCUAGGUAAGUCAGGUGUGAAAUCUCUCCGCUUAACGGGGAAAUGGCAUUUGAUACUGCUUGGCUAGAGGAUCGGAGGGGGCAACGGAAUUCUUGGUGUAGCAGUGAAAUGCGUAGAUAUCAAGAGGAACACCGGUGGCGUAGGCGGUUGCCUGGAAGAUUCCUGACUCUGAAACACGAAAGCCAGGGGAGCAAACGGG